GCCUAGCCCUGAUUGCAACGAAAAGCCCGGAAGUACAACAACUUAUUUUUCUUGCUGUAAAAAAGCGACCAACGGAAGCUCUUUUUACAGCUUAGAAAAAUUGUUGUUGUACUGAGGACUUGUAGUGGAAAGCAGGAAAUAGC
rnacentral:sRNA from 1 species